GAUGAACGCUGGCGGCGUGCCUAAUACAUGCAAGUCGAGCGAACAGAUAAGGAGCUUGCUCCUUUGACGUUAGCGGCGGACGGGUGAGUAACACGUGGGUAACCUACCUAUAAGACUGGAAUAACUCCGGGAAACCGGGGCUAAUGCCGGAUAACAUGUUGAACCGCAUGGUUCUACAGUGAAAGGCGGCUUUGCUGUCACUUAUAGAUGGACCCGCGCCGUAUUAGCUAGUUGGUGAGGUAACGGCUCACCAAGGCAACGAUACGUAGCCGACCUGAGAGGGUGAUUGGCCACACUGGAACUGAGACACGGUCCAGACUCCUACGGGAGGCAGCAGUAGGGAAUCUUCCGCAAUGGGCGAAAGCCUGACGGAGCAACGCCGCGUGAGUGAUGAAGGUCUUCGGAUCGUAAAACUCUGUUAUUAGGGAAGAACAAAUGCGUAAGUAACUGUGCGCGUCUUGACGGUACCUAAUCAGAAAGCCACGGCUAACUACGUG
rnacentral:rRNA from 1 species